rnacentral:misc_RNA from 1 species
GAUGAAGAACGCAGCGAAAUGCGAUACGUAAUGUGAAUUGCAGAAUUCAGUGAAUCAUCGAAUCUUUGAACGCAUAUUGCGCUCUCUGGUAUUCCGGAGAGCAUGCUUGUUUGAGUAUCAGUAAACACCUCAACUUCCAUAUCUUUUUUGAAAUGGGAGUUGGACUUGAGUGAUCCCAACGCUUUUCCUCACCGAAAAGUGGCGGGUUACUUGAAAUGCAGGUGCAGCUGGACUUUUCUCUGAGCUAUAAGCAUAUCUAUUUAGUCUGCCUAAAAACAGAUUAUUACCUUUGCUGCAGCUAACAUAAAGGAGAUUAGUUCUUGUGCUGACUGAUGCAGGAUUCACAAAGACAGGCUUCGGCCGACUUUGUAAACUCGAUCUCAAAUCAAGUAAGACUACCCGCUGAACUUAAGCAUAUCAAUAAGCGUAGGA